rnacentral:tRNA from 1 species
GGACUGGUAGCUCAGCAGGAUAGAGCACUUGAUUCCUAAUCAAGGGGUCGGGGGUUCAAAUCCCUCCCAGUUCACCA